UACGUAGGACCCAAGCGUUAUCCGGAAUUACUGGGCGUAAAGAGUUGCGUAGGUGGCAUAGCAAGCAAAUAGUGAAAGCGUGUGGCUCAACCACAUACCCAUUAUUUGAACUGCUAAGCUAGAGCACGAAAGAGGUACCUGGAAUUCUCAGUGUAGGAGUGAAAUCCGUAGAUAUUGGGAGGAACACCGAUGGCGUAGGCAGGGUACUGGUUCGUUGCUGACACUAAGGCACGAAAGCGUGGGGAGCGAAUGGG
rnacentral:rRNA from 1 species